AGAGGACUGAAAAUCCUCGUG
rnacentral:tRNA from 1 species